rnacentral:rRNA from 1 species
GACGAACGCUGGCGGCGUGCUUAACACAUGCAAGUCGAGCGAGGCCCCUCCUUCGGGAGGGUGUCCUAGCGGCGAACGGGUGAGUAACACGUGGGCAACCUGCCCUCAGCUCUGGGAUAACUCCGGGAAACCGGGGCUAAUACCGGAUACGACCUCCACGGGCAUCUGCGGAGGUGGAAAGGUUUUCGGCUGAGGAUGGGCCCGCGGCCUAUCAGCUAGUUGGUGGGGUAGUGGCCCACCAAGGCGACGACGGGUAGCCGGCCUGAGAGGGCGACCGGCCACACUGGGACUGAGACACGGCCCAGAAUCCUACGGGAGGCAGCAGUGGGGAAUAUUGCGCAAUGGGCGAAAGCCUGACGCAGCGACGCCGCGUGAGGGACGAAGGCCUUCGGGUUGUAAACCUCUUUCAGCAGGGACGAAGCGAAAGUGACGGUACCUGCAGAAGAAGCACCGGCCAACUACGUG